rnacentral:rRNA from 1 species
GGAUUGAACGCUGGCGGCAGGCCUAACACAUGCAAGUCGAGCGGCAGCACGGGUACUUGUACCUGGUGGCGAGCGGCGGACGGGUGAGUAAUGCCUAGGAAUCUGCCUGAUAGGUGGGGGAUAACGCUCGGAAACGGACGCUAAUACCGCAUACGUCCUACGGGAGAAAGCGAGGGGACCGUUCGGGCCUUGCGCUAUCAGAUGAGCCGUAGGUCGGAUUAG